AACAGAUCAAGAGCAUCAAGUGUUCAUCUCAGAGUGACGGCAAAAGCCCUCCUCAACCUGGACAUAGACGGAGCCAGACAGCCUCUGUCUAUCAAUGUGACUAAGUUUGCGAUGGCAGAAAACAUGGUGGACCUUAUUGACGGUUACUGCCGCUCUGAGCACGCCACUGACGAGUCGUUCAUCGCUAGACCAAACAAAGAUGCCAAUUUACGAAGUUCCCUGCCAGACCUUCCCACGAAUCAAACGGAGAACACGGACUCCUUCAGAUAUAGCAUGGGAUCUGACAUCUACGCUGAGAUUGACGAACGACCAAAGUCUG